rnacentral:rRNA from 1 species
AACGAACGCUGGCGGCAUGCUUAACACAUGCAAGUCGAACGAUGGCUUCGGCCAUAGUGGCGGACGGGUGAGUAGCGCGUGGGAACCUGCCCCGAGGUACGGAAUAACCGCUGGAAACGGCGGCUAAUACCGUAUGAGCCCUGAGGGGGGAAAGAUUUAUCGCCUUGGGAGGGGCCCGCGUCCGAUUAGGUAGUUGGUGAGGUAAAGGCUCACCAAGCCUGCGAUCGGUAGCUGGUCUGAGAGGAUGAUCAGCCACACUGGGACUGAGACACGGCCCAGACUCCUACGGAGGCAGCAGUGGGGGAAUAUUGGACAAUGGGGGGCAACCCUGAUCCAGCAAUGCCGCGUGAGUGAUGAAGGCCUUC